AUGAUAAGAGGAGGAAACUUGUGGGAAGGGGCAGAGUCCAGAGAAGGUUUGGUUUGUUUGUUUAUUUUUAAAGACUUCAUCUACCUGAGGAGGCAGAAGAAGAGAUCACUGGUCUGGAGAAAUCAAAGAUUCAAGAAGGAAUGGAAGGAGCAAGGAAGUAAGGAUUUGGAAGGGUUCAUGAUCAAGAGUAAAGGUGAAGGACAUGACUUUGCCAGAAGGAGAGACAUUCAUUUCGUCCUGGAGCCAAAGAUUGAAAGAUGCUGGGGCAGUAUAAUGUGUACAUUCAGUGGCUCCAACUUCUCACUUGGAAUUAAGCACUACAGUCAGCAGAUUAUCAUCAAAGGAGAGAUAACAGGAGCCUACCCCAACCCCCUGGAUCAGUCUCUUCUAUACAUGCUACUACUAUGGCUUCAACUGCAAUUAAAGCAAAUUUAAAGAAAUAUGCUACAUCUAAGGACCUACUGAGAUGUUCUCCUUGGCGCUAAGAUGAUGAAUAAACCUGAGACACUUGGAAACUUCUAAGCUCUUAUGGGAUGAAUGAUGGUUAUAAUAUCAUAAGAUGCCCAGGCAUUACAAGGGAAAGGUAAGAUGAGACCUCUGAGGCUCAAUUAGGAUAACAGAUGUUUCUUCACUCUCUUUUGAUUAUGUUCCUGUCACUUGACAUGGGAUGUAGCUUGUUAUGAUGAUGGAGGGAAGACUGCUGAAACUGGGAGAGGACUGUGAAAUAUUAUAAUGGGAGACAGUUCAAAUAUCCCACUUAGAACUAGUGGGUGGCAUUUGUGGAGUAACGAUAUUAUCUCAUUAUCUAAAUCUCCUAAGACUGUGAGUAUCCUGCCAGUUUCUAUUUUAUUUAUAUAACUCAUUACUUCAAGGCUGUUAUAGGAAGUUUCUGACUCUAGCAAGAAAUAUAAAUUGAC
rnacentral:lncRNA from 10 species